GUAGCGUUCCCUCCCCACUCUAGUUUAGCCACACCCUGCAAUCAUUGAUUGUCAGCAGGUGAGGCUAAUCACUUCUCAGUCCUUAAAUGUAGCUGUGUAGCAGUCAGCAGUAGGUUUUGCCUCAACCUACCCUGACUCUACAGUUGUUUGAGGGAUGCCGAUGCCCAACUAAGGUGUAAUGGCAGGAAUAUGGGAGCUAAUUGAAGGUAGUUGCUGCUCCCUCCACUAGAAGAGUGUGGUGUGUAUGUGCCAGAUUCUGGUUGGAUAAAUUGUUCAUGUAACUCGCAGUAGGAACUGGAACAUGGUGUCUGUUCCCAUGACCUAGUCUUCUGGCUACAGCUGUUUUUGCCCUUCUACAAAUGUAUUUAUUGUAUAUGGUUACCUUGUUUUACUGUGUAGAUUGUUAAUUUUUGAUAGUUGGUUUGUGUUUUCUUGGUUAAUUUAGUUGUCGGAUUUAUUUAUCAUCUUUCAUAAACCAAACUUGUGAGUUAAUGAUAUAGUGGAGCUAUUUUUAGUGUUUGUACAGGUGGGCUGUCAUACGCUGACAAGUGGUGGGUUACUGGGUGGAGGGUUUCCCCCUGUCUGGGUUCUAUGUGCAUGCUUACGUUGCUGUGUAUUCUAACUAUGUGCUUUAUUGUUUUGCAGUGUGUGUGUGAUCUCUUCUUCCCUGUACCUACUGGUGUUGGUGACCCCCCUUUUCUCUCACUCCCUCAUUCCUGUAGGCCUCCCUGACAGCCCCCCUCCCCCUUGUACUGGUAAUUACCUGUUUAGUGAAUAUAAGUAUAUUUUGGUAAUAAAUCGUAAAUUUUAACCUAUCCCAAAUGUUUUUUUUUUGAGAGUGACAUUAAAUCUGUGUAAAUAAAUGUAGUGGUCGAAACUGGAAAUUCACAUCUCUGCUCCUUUUUCUCUGUACUAUAAGAACCUGUGAAAGUGGGUAUUCUCUGGGUGAAAGUCCCAGG